AAGAUUUUAAGUUAAAUAAACUAAUAGCCUUCAAAUCUAUAAAUACAAGUAUAAUUCUUUUAAAUCUUA
rnacentral:tRNA from 1 species